rnacentral:rRNA from 1 species
UACGUAGGGGGCUAGCGUUGUCCGGAUUUAUUGGGCGUAAAGAGCGUGUAGGCGGCCAGGUAGGUCUGGUGUGAAAACUCGAGGCUUAACCUCGAGAUGUCAUCGGAAACCAUCUGGCUAGAGUCCGGAAGAGGAGAGUGGAAUUCCUGGUGUAGCGGUGAAAUGCGCAGAUAUCAGGAAGAACACCAAUGGCGAAAGCAGCUCUCUGGGACGGUACUGACGCUGAGACGCGAAAAGUGUGGGGGAGCGAACAGG